rnacentral:rRNA from 1 species
GAUGAACGCUGGCGGCGUGCCUAAUACAUGCAAGUCGAGCGAACGGACGAGAAGCUUGCUUCUCUGAUGUUAGCGGCGGACGGGUGAGUAACACGUGGAUAACCUACCUAUAAGACUGGGAUAACUUCGGGAAACCGGAGCUAAUACCGGAUAAUAUUUUGAACCGCAUGGUUCAAAAGUGAAAGACGGUCUUGCUGUCACUUAUAGAUGGAUCCGCGCUGCAUUAGCUAGUUGGUAAGGUAACGGCUUACCAAGGCAACGAUGCAUAGCCGACCUGAGAGGGUGGUCGGCCACCCUGGAACUGAGGCACGGUCCAGACUCCUGCGGGAGGCAGCAGUAGGGAAUCUUCCGCAAUGGGCGAAAGCCUGACGGAGCAACGCCGCGUGAGUGAUGAAGGUCUUCGGAUCGUAGAACUCUGUUAUUAGGGAAGAACAUAUGUGUAAGUAACUGUGCACAUCUUGACGGUACCUAAUCAGAAAGCCACGGCUAACUACGUG